CGCUAUGCGGCCUGCUAGCGGGGCCCAACGGCGCCGCGGAGCCCGCAAAACGAAAGGGCGAGGAGGCUGUGCGUCGUCCUCAUCUGCUUGACUCCUCGCAUGCGCCGCCGCCGCCAUCCACUUCCGCGCCGCCGCAGUCGCCAUUCGCGGCACCGCCGCCGGUCGCUAGCGGAUCCACAACUCUUGUUGCCAGCGGAUCUGGAGGCUUCUUGUCUCAUCCCCCUCUCGUCGCCGUCGAGUCUUCAAACCCCAAUCGCAAGAACAGCAUUGAAUCAACGGCAAGGGCAGCUGCGACGGUGUGCGCCUAAGUGGGAGAAGAACCUCGGGAAGACUAUCAUGCUGGACAACUGGAAGGAAGGCGGCAGCGACACAAACGAGAGCUGCAGCUACAAACAAGGUCCUCUCCGAGAAUAACAUGUCAGCUCUCAGAACGACCAAUAGCUCUCAGAAUAAUAGUGUGCAUCUGCAUGUGCAAUGGUCGCCGGAAUUCUGACAUUGAAACAUUAGGAACCGCUUGAACUUCUCUCCAUGCAUACGAUUGUGUGGUAUAUUAGAAGGAACAAUCGAUGUUACUCAUCGAAGGUAUAAACUUCUCACGGGGAAGAUAUAAGUGUUAGAGAUAUUAAAAAUCGCCUCGAGUUAUCAUGUAUUCUUGAGAUUUUUGCACCUUGCAUUGCCUUUUGUCCAAGAUGAAAGAGUGACUGAACGAAUCCAGUUCCCUUUAUUGCCCUUUUAUUAAGAAUAACUUCUUAUUUUGUAUGGUAUUACAAACUUCUUUGUUCCAGAUUUCUGAUUUUGUCAUAGCCAUGUUAUCCAUAACUGAAUUGCCCUUAAUGCUUUAUGUCUUCGAGUAAGGCUUUAUCAAGCUUGCUUUACCUAGCUGUCUGUUUAAAGGAGUGAGUUGCCACUAUCUUUACCUUCCUUUCAUGUAUUUUGUUCAGCCAGCUUCAUCUUGUGAUCACUAGUUUUCUUUUUAGAGAUUCAUCCUAUCAUAACCAUCUCUAAUUUGUCAGUCAUGUGUUGUUUAUUUUACUUACUAGCUGAUGGCUGGGAACUUGGGAAGCAGCCAAGCAGGCCAGGCGGCAGUGAUGAAACAAAGAGCCCUACAAAGCUGAUGUGUUGUUUUUGUAGUUAUUUUUUUUUAUGAUUUAUCAUUUAUUGUUCUACACAAAUACACACUAUGACUAGGACGGAAAAUAUCCCUGCCAUGUUCUUUUCUAUUUUCUUUCAGAUUUUCCCAUAAUUCUGGAUUGUUUAAAUAUGUGGUUUGGAAUGUAAAUCUAUACUAGUUUUAGUUUGGCUGCAAGCAAGAUUGCUGCCGGAGCAAGUGGAAACUAGGAAAAUCUUUACCCGCAUAUUUUGAUGGCCUAGAUCCUUUACUUGCAUUUCUAACUGCCUGAUCCUACUAUUAAUCACAACCACCUUUUACUCCAAUUCACUAAUGAUGUGUUCUUUUUUGAGAAUGUAGGUAGAUGUUUCUGGGUUCUACCUGCGAUGAUUCUGGGUUCUUUCUCGCGCUAUUACAUCACAGAAAGGAAAAAGCUUUGAGUUAUACUAGCCAACUUGUUCAUGCUGCUCCAAGAUGAUGCCAUUCUAGUGAUAAGAUUGGCAGUGAAUCGCCUGCUCUGUUUUAACCUGACUACGAUUUUAUGUUCCUUUUGACAUUUUAGUAGUUUCUUAGACUGCAAUCGAAGUAGCUGCAGCAGCAGCAGGAUUGCUAAGCCAUGUGGAGAAAAAAAUGAGAAAAAGUGAUGGACCCAAGUGCAGGGCUAAUAGAUUAGUGUGUCGUCUGAACAAUGGUCUUGACUUCUUGUUAUGAAAUGGAAGCCUUACGUAAUGUAUAAUCCAUUUUAAUCUUUUCAGUCACUA